rnacentral:misc_RNA from 1 species
CGACAGAAUCAUGAAUCCUGAAUAGUAAGUUAUAAUCUUAUCCUCCUUGAUUCCCUCUCACCUUUAGAUUUCAGUUUCUGCAUCUUGAUCAAAUUAUGUCUAAUAUAGAUGUAAUUAACUUGGAUCUGGAAUAAAUUAAUUCGCUAAUUAAUUAUAUAUCUGCAAUUUCUUAAUACGUGGUUUAGUUGUUUUUGUUUGGUCCUUUUUUUGAAUAACUUGACGAUUGAAUUAAUUGUUUGCUUUGUUGUUGGCUUGAUUGCUUAGAUCUAGG